UGAGGAAUAUUGGUCAAUGGACGAGAGUCUGAACCAGCCAAGUAGCGUGCAGGAUGACGGCCCUAUGGGUUGUAAACUGCUUUUGUUUGGGAAUAAUCGACAUUACGUGUAAUGUUUUGCAUGUACCAUUCGAAUAAGGACCGGCUAAUUCCGUUCCAGCAGCCGCGGUAAUACGGAAGGUCCAGGCGUUAUCCGGAUUUAUUGGGUUUAAAGGGAGUGUAGGCGGUUGGUUAAGCGUGUUGUGAAAUGUAGAUGCUCAACAUCUGACUUGCAGCGCGAACUGGCUGACUUGAGUACACACAACGUAGGCGGAAUUCAUGGUGUAGCGGUGAAAUGCUUAGAUAUCAUGAAGAACUCCGAUUGCGAAGGCAGCUUACGGGAGUGUUACUGACGCUUAAGCUCGAAGGUGCGGGUAUCGAACAGG
rnacentral:rRNA from 1 species